CAUUUUUCAAAUUCCAAUGCAGCUGCUUCCACUUCCGGUCCAUUCUCAGUUGGGACAUAGUAUAGUAUACUAUGAUGAGCAUUUUUCGAUCUGGGGGAUUACUACUAAACUAUUUUCAAUCAUGAUGGCUGGCGGUUCAGCUGAAGUACAGAAACCACAGCAGGCACAGUUCAAACAAGAUAUCUCUCAUGCAGCUGUCUCGGGUAGCCAGAUCCACCCUCCCAAGGCUUGGUGCUAUGUUUCAAGAACCAA